GACGAACGCUGGCGGCGUGCUUAACACAUGCAAGUCGAACGGUAAGGCCCUUCGGGGUACACGAGUGGCGAACGGGUUAGUAACACGUGGGUGAUCUGCCCUGCACUUCGGGAUAAGCCUGGGACACUGGGUCUCAUACCGGAUAGGACGCCUGGCUUCAUGGUUGGGGGGGGAGAGCUGUUGCGGUGUGGGAUGGGCCCGCGGCCUAUCAGCUUGUUGGUGGGGUAAUGGCCUACCAAGGCGACGACGGGUAGCCGGCCUGAGAGGGUGACCGGUCACACUGGGACUGAGAUACGGCCCAGACUCCUACGGGAGGCAGCAGUGGGGAAUAUUGCACAAUGGGCGCAAGCCUGAUGCAGCGACGCCGCGUGAGGGAUGACGGCCUUCGGGUUGUAAACCUCUUUCAGCUAUGACGAAGCGCAAGUGACGGUAGUAGCAGAAGAAGGACCGGCCAACUACGUGCCAGCAGCCGCCGUAA
rnacentral:rRNA from 1 species